rnacentral:lncRNA from 1 species
UGAUCAAAAACUAACUCACCCGGACAGCCGGUGACUGCAUUGCCUAGGUAGAACCAUCAGAAGUCGUGAUAGAACCGUCGUUAGCCGGUAAUUGCGGAGGCUUGCCUCUUUGACUUACAUACCGUACGUCUCCACUGUCCACAUCUCUUGGUUUUUUAAAACCUUCUUAUGAUACUAAAAUAAAAAACUUUUUUUUACUUUUUUGAAAGGGCAAAAGCAAAAGCAAGAUGACAAAAAU